rnacentral:rRNA from 1 species
UACGAAGGGGGCUAGCGUUGUUCGGAAUUACUGGGCGUAAAGCGCACGUAGGCGGAUAUUUAAGUCAGGGGUGAAAUCCCAGAGCUCAACUCUGGAACUGCCUCUGAUACUGGGUAUCUUGAGUAUGGAAGAGGUGAGUGGAAUUGCGAGUGUAGAGGUGAAAUUCGUAGAUAUUCGCAGGAACACCAGUGGCGAAGGCGGCUCACUGGUCCAUAACUGACGCUGAGGUGCGAAAGCGUGGGGAGCAAACAUG